rnacentral:rRNA from 1 species
CCUACGGGAGGCAGCAGUAGGGAAUUUUCGUCAAUGGGCGCAAGCCUGAACGAGCGAUGCCGCGUGAGUGAAGAAGGCCUUCGGGUCGUAAAGCUCUGUUGCGGGGGAAAAAAGGCAGCAUCAGGAAAUGGGUGCUGACUGAUGGUGCCCCGCCAGAAAGUCACGGCUAACUACGUGCCAGCAGCCGCGGUAAUACGUAGGUGGCGAGCGUUAUCCGGAAUGAUUGGGCGUAAAGGGUGCGCAGGCGGUCCGGCAAGUCUGGAGUGAAACGCAUGAGCUCAACUCAUGCAUGGCUUUGGAAACUGGAGGACUGGAGAGCAGGAGAGGUCGGUGGAACGCCAGGUGUAGCGGUGAAAUGCGUAGAUAUAUGGAAGAACACCAGUGGCGAAGGCGGCCGCCUGGCCUGUUGCUGACGCUGAGGCACGAAAGCGUGGGGAGCAAAUAGGAUUAGAUACCCCAGUAGUC